rnacentral:lncRNA from 1 species
CUCAGAUUGUUUCCUUCUCCAAGGUCAAUCCUGGUCCUUUGGUCUGGCCCAAGCCAAGCCUCCUAGAACCUCUGGCCUGGGUGGAGGAGGGCAGCAUCCCUGAGGUUUCCCCUUUCUGCUUCCUUUGGCCUUAAAGGGGCAGUGGAUCUCCACCCCUGGGCCUCCCUGGAGGUCCCCUAUAGGGCCUGUCCCUAGGAUGUGCCUUGGCCAGUGCCCUCCAAAGCCCACAUCCUACCUCCUCCUCCUGCUGGCUCCUGGCUCUGAGCUCACAGGGGUAGACUUUCUAGCACAAAGGGCAGCUCCAGAGAGUAUCCUGAGGACAGGUCAGGGUCACAAGAAGCUCAGUGGCCUCUUAAACCCACUCAGAGACAGGUAAAUGGAAGUCCUAGACACACACACACACACACACACACACACACACACACACACACCCCGGCACUGCCUCUGCAUGCUGGGCUUCACCUCCAUCCCUUAUCAGCCUGGAAGAGGGUCCUUACUGAGCCCUUAGUUCACUCAGAACCCAGACGGAGUCUAAUUGCUUUCGUUUCAGAUCAGAUGAAAAAUAAGGAGAGUAAAUGAACCAACCACGGGCCAGAUUCAGAGCUGGUUUGUGUCACAUGUUUUCCAGGAAACCACUCUUAUUCUAAUAUGGUAAACUCUCUCUGAAAGAGACAAAUGGGUGUGGGGGAAGCAGCCACCCAAAAGCUAUUUCCUGAUCCUGGCCACCAGACAGAGAACUUCGUUGUGACUGAGCAGAGUUGUCUCCUUCCCCAGGAGGGGGAAGCUCUCUCGUGCCAAGAAGAUGGGUCAAGGAGUGUCCACAAUGACUUUGUCUGUGGCCAUACCCGACAUUUCUGUAGCGUUGUCAUUCUCGGGACCUGUGGUGUGGCUCCUUUCGGGGGCAGUGAUUGUGAUUAUCUUUGCUGGUGUCACCUAUUUGGUGGUGCAGCACAUCAGGAAGGGCAAUAUGAAAGACUCCAAUAAAAUGAACUAACGAGAUCCUAUCCUGGCCAAGCAGAGGGGAAGUCCCCCUUACAAGACUGUAUUUUGAAAAAAUAAAAAUAAAAAGAAUGCAUUUUGAAUAACAACAAUGUAAAUUUGGAGGCCUCAUUUUAGUUUUUUAUUGCUUUUAUCUGCUUGAGCACACUGAUCAACCACUGAACUACUUUCUUCUAUUUUCCUCCAGUGAUAUAUAAAGGUUACAUUUUUGUGUUUAUGGCUUUCAUGGUUGGGAUUUCAGAGCACCGACACCAGAUGUUUUAAGUUUCUCUGGGGGAAUUUCAUUUGCAUCUAUGUUUUUAGCUACUUGUGAUAACUUGUUAAAUAUUAGAAAGAUAUUUUGCUUCUUUUGAAACAUUAUUAUACUCAAAACUAUAUUUCUUUUUUUUUUUUACUGUUUAAGGAAUUUUUUUUUUUUGGUACUGGAGAUCGAACUCGGGUCCUUGCGCAUGCCCAGCAGGCACCAAAACCACUGAGCUAAAUCCCCAGCCCUGUUUAAGGAAUUUUUAUUAAAGCAAGAAUUUUAUAACCCAAAUUAUGUUUCCGUGCUCAGUUAUCAAUUCUGUUACUUAAAACAGAACUGACAUCCUGAGCUAUUCCACAGUAAAGAAUUACAAAAUAGCACAAGGACCUGCGUUCGAUCCCUAGUACCAAAAAAAAAAAGAAUUACAAAAUUAAAGAAAGGAAUGCUUUAAAUUUUUGUACUUUGCUGAAAAUUCUUUUCCCAGGGUCUAUAAAACAUUAAUUUGUCAAAACUAUAUUCCUUUUUUUGUUUUGUUUUGUUUUGUGUGGUACCGGGGAUCGAACCUGGGACCUUGAGUUUGUGAGGCUUGAGCUUGCAAGGCAGGGGGCAGAACCACUGUGCUAAAUCCCCAGCCCCUCAAAACUAUAUUUCUAUAAACAGCUGCUGUAAAAAAUAAAACAUUGGAAGUUUAAAAAAAAAUUGGGGGCCCUCCAAAAAAUCAUUUUAAAAAUUGUUUUAAGUCACAAAAUUAUUGAGUGUCUA